UACGAAGGGGGCUAGCGUUGCUCGGAAUCACUGGGCGUAAAGCGCACGUAGGCGGACUCUUAAGUCAGGGGUGAAAUCCUGGAGCUCAACUCCAGAACUGCCCUUGAUACUGGGAGCCUUGAGUUCGGGAGAGGUGAGUGGAACUGCGAGUGUAGAGGUGAAAUUCGUAGAUAUUCGCAAGAACACCAGUGGCGAAGGCGGCUUACUGGUCCGGUUCUGACGCUGAGGCGCGAAAGCGUGGGGAGCAAACAGG
rnacentral:rRNA from 1 species